rnacentral:lncRNA from 1 species
GCAUCCCCCCGCUCCCUGCAUUGGUUCGCGCCGCGGAGCGCGAAGAACCAGCCGUGUGCGCGGUGCCCGAGACACAGCGGUAGCGAGUCCGCGGAGCACGGUUGGGUCGGAGGGUCCGCUGUGCGGCGGCUGCUGCGUCGCGAUCAUGGCUCUCAAAGUCCGAGUCGUUUACUGGUAAGCGCGGAGGCCAGGGGCCUCUCCCUACCGCGAUUUCCGUGCGCUCGGAGCCGGGAUGGGGCGUCGGGGGCUGGAUCUCAGGCACCCGGGAGGAGAAAAGCGGCUGGGUGGGGCCAGGAGGGGUGAGGGCCGCGGGGAGUUGAACCCCCGUUUGGGACGAGCGGGACGUCUCGGGUUGUGAAGGGUCCAGCGGAGACAUGUGUGUGGCCGCUGCAGACGCCGAGGGGCUUGGCCGCGGGUCGGGUGGAUCUGUGCACUCCUGGGACCGACCCCUCGGCUAUGCUCCGAUUGCCCCCCCCGCCCGCGAACAGCCCCUGGGUCAGGACGGCCUCCUGAACCUUCCUGGGUUUAGAAAAGACGCAAAUGACAACCUUCGCCCGGUGCCCGUGGGUGCCCGUGCUGCCAACCCCACUCUUCUCGGGCCACAGUUCCCCCCUCGGUAGUGAGAAGAGGGCGAACUUAGUAGCUCCUGCCCAGGGAGCGCUGCACGCCAGCCCCGACUGCCUUGAACAUAUUUCCUCUGCUCAGAGGAUCUCCCUGGCACCUCAUUCUAUGCUAGCAUGCAGUAGGUGCUUAAUAAAUACCGGUUCAAUGAAUUUACUGCCCCCUGAGCCUUUUGAGGGAGGGGAAUGCAGUAGGUCGAGGUCCUGGCUCAGAUGGGGGCCACUCCAACCUGGGUGGCUGGCCCAAUUGUCUGGGACAUGCACCCGGGAUCCAGUGGGUCUCAAUUUUGGGAAUGCCAUGGCCUGUUAGAAGCACAGCUCGCUUGACAUUUUGAGUUCCCAGGAGGCCUGUGCACCAGAUUCCAGCGGGAAAUGGCAUCUUGGGUGUUGAAGGUGUUCAGGUUCCAGGAGCUACAGGGCUUCCUUCAGUGUUCUAGGCGUGGGCCCAGCCGAGAUUGCAUGUUGUUUAUGCGGCUCUUGUUCUAACCCAGUGCCCUCCGUUUUCUUCCCUGUUGCCUUCCCCGCCUCAUGUGGCCACAUAAUUGUGAUCUGGUCACCCCGAGGCGGCCUCCCUCUCCCCCUUUGCCCGGCUUGGCUCUUUUCUCUGCUGUUUCUAUUACACUCUGGUGUCCGUGUGUCUUUCUUCCCUUCUCUGCCUCUUCUGCUUGGUCAUUUCUGCCCAUCUUAUUCUCUUCUCUUCCUGGUCCCCUUUGUCCUGCCAUUACUGCCUGGCUUUCCCUGUGUCCCCACCUGUCUGCCUGUCCUGGAACUCCUCACUUGGACUCACCUACCAGUGGCGCUUGAGGCUACAAGCCUAAGGUAAGCCGGGUGCCCUCAGGAGCACCCUGAGUCGGGGGAGUGCAUCUGGGGGGCUGGCUGGGCACUGCUCUGAUCUCCUCCCCCUUUUCAGUAUCUCCAGCUCAAGAAGAAGCUAGAAGAUGAGUUCCCCGGAUGCCUGGACAUUGUGAGUCUCGGGGAUGUGGACGUGGAGCCAGUCGGGCCCCUCGUCUGUCUGAGGGUCUGGUGGUGGUGGAGGUGGCUUAGCCCCACAGCCUUUACCCUCACCCCACACUUCCUGGGAAGGGGAAGCGUUUCCAAGAGGGCAUCCCAGCGCCAAUCUGUCCUCCCUGCUUAGUGCGGCGAGGGGACUCCCCAGGUCACCGGGUUCUUUGAAGUGAUGGUAGCCGGGAAGCUGGUUCACUCCAAGAAGGUAUAUCUCUGUGUGUGUCUUGUUUGGGGGUCAAGUAGGACUGGGGCGGAGGCUGGUGUGUGGGUCCAAGCUUGACCCUUUCUCUCUUUCCCCUCCCCAGAGAGGUGAUGGCUAUGUGGACACGGAGAGCAAGUUUCUGAAGCUGGUGGCUGCCAUCAAAGCCGCCUUGGCUCAGGGCUAGAGUGCCCUGAAGGCAGAGGUGAGGGGCCCAGGCAGGCGCUGACCUGGGACCAGUCUGGGAGAUGGGGGCAUCCAGGUGUCCCCGGGGCAGGAGGAGUGGAAACAAGGUCUGGGUGGUGCAGGAUGACUCCUGAGCUGGCAGUAAGCUGAGGGCUGCCCUCAGCAGCUCUCCUGGCUUUGGAAUAGAAGGUACUAAAGAGACACUCUGGAUUUUGUCCCUUUGCCAGGAAACAGUGACUAUCUGUGACUGUCAGCCCAGGUUACAGGCACAUUUGGAAACACAGCUCCUGUGCUCAGUAUUUUCAACCUGAUCACCAGUUAUCAGACACUGAACUUGAGACUUUUCCAGAGUGGGCCCACAAACACUUUAAGAAACUAACUGACAAAGAAUGUUCAAGAAACUGACACUAACUCUAGAACUGAUCACCUGCCCCAGAAGGGACUCCCUUCUUCCCCAGAGCAAUGUAGAAUCAAAUUCAGAACCAGCUGUCAGCAUACCCUGAACCCAGGCACCCCUUCCCACACCUGCACGGAACUGUGCAGACCAGCUCCCAAACUGCAGAACUGAUAUCUAGUUCCCUAUGUCCUCUGAGCCAGGUAGUUCCUUCCAGCCCAGCGCGUUCUAGAACACAUAGCCAUUUCCAUAACCCUCUGGAACAUGGACUGCUUUCCAGAGCCCUCUUGAGUUUGGUUUCAGUUUCCUCAAGUACAUUCCAGAUGAGUUCCAAACCCCUUCUCAUCUAGGACUGGGCACUACUCACCCGCGCAGACCAGGGCUAAGUUCUGGUUUUGGGGACAGUCCUUCCUUGACCCGCCUAUACUAGAGAUUGAGCUCAGGGCUGCUUUACCACAGAGCUUCAGCCUCAGCCUUUGAUUUCAAGACAGGGUCUGGCCAAGUUGCCAAGCCUGGCCUUGAACCUGCGAUCCUUCCCCCAAGUCACAGGGAUUGCGGGUGUGCACCACCUUCCUGCUCCAGAGCAGUGAGGCCACUCUGAAUUUGGACAUGCAGAUCUAAAGUAGUGACUACAGAAGGACAGUGGCAUCCUCCCUCCUGUGUGGGUCUGACAUGAAGCACCCCCACCCCCAAAUUGGAAACGAAUUUCUUGGUUCCACAGUGGCUGAGGGACGGUGGGUGGUGCCACGCAGUGGGAUUUGACUUGAACUCUGUGGAGUGAGCAGCUCUGUCUAAACCCCCCUCCAGUCAGUACUGGCAGAGGCUCCCUUGGAUUCCAGGGGGUGAGUCAAUAGAUGACGUCAUCUCCCAUAAAGGAAAGUGGGUUUGCAUAAGGAAGAAAUGGGGGGGAGACAAGUCUGUGAAGAGUGACUGUUUUUGUUUGUUUUGGUGCUUGGGGGUGGAACCCAGGGCCUGCCACCUGCUGAGCACAUGCCCUGCCCCAGGGCCACUGCCUGCCCCUGUUUGGUAGUGCUGUGGCUCUAGUUUUCAGGACCCUUGGAAGGAUUCAGAAGAACUCCAGCAGCUGUUCUGCAUGGUUCCAGGUUACCUAGGGGGGGGCAGAGGGUAGGGGUCACCAGGCAGGAGCUUGUGCCCUGUCCCCCAGACAGAUGCAGGCUGAUUGUGCCAGCUGCCAUGUUGACGAGAGGGGUGAAAACACUCCCCAGUUCUUGCGCUGGAGGGGCUCGCUGGCACCAUCGCGUCCCAGAUUUUUACUGGGGACUGGGCAUACACAGGGCUGGCCUUGUCUCCAGGCCCUCCAGAAUUUAAGCUGAGGCCACACUCCCAGAGCCCGCGACAGCAGCAGUGUUAGCACAGGUGGCUGUGGUUGAGGCAGAGUGAACCAGGGUGCCAGGCAGGCCAUCCCGAGGACUUCGGUACUUCCUCCCAGGAGCCAGGCUCUUGGGGCAAGGUGGUUCCUGCUGCACGUGGUGUGGCCGUCAGCUGGUGAAGAGCAGUAAAGUCUGUCAGGGUGGCACUGGCCUGUGAUCCCAGCGAGACUGAGGCAAGAGGGUUGCAUGUUCGAGGCCCGCCUCAGCAACUUGGCAAGAUCUUGUUUGAAAAUAAAAAAUGAGAAAAAGAAGGGCAGGGGGUGCGGGGAUAGGAGUUGGCUCAGUGGUAGAGUGCCCCUGGGUGCAAUCCCCAGGACCAAAGCAAAACUCCCCCUGAAUCUGUGUGUUAACCAGGUGGUGCACACCCGCAAUCCCAGCAAUUCAGGAGGCUGAGGCAGGAGAACCACAAGUUCGAGGCCAGCCUCAGCAAUGUGGCAAGACCCCUGUCUCAAAGACUAAAAGGGGCUGGGGAUGUGGCUCAGUGGUAAAGCACUCCUGGGUCCAUUUCCCAGUAUCAAGAAACAACCCCACGUGUGAGUUGCGGUGGGCUCUGGAGACGGGGUUUGGCUCUGGGCCACCAGGCUUUCUGUAGGCCAGCAGGUGGCUGCCCAUCACCUCUCUGCAGGCUCAGUGAGAGCUGGCCCUCAGCGGGUCCCUCCCUGUGCACCCUGUUUCCCUGGGCCUGCAGCUCUGUGUACCCUUGUCACACUGACCUGGGCCCAACCUGCUCCCCCCUCCCCCUCUUCUCUCCACAGUCCAGGGACCUUGGCCCAGGCCCGCUCAGCAGACGCUCUAUGACAGGAAGGACUGAAAUGUCUCCGGGACGCCUGGUCUUUUCUCGAUGUCCUUGCAGCCUCUGGGUCGGGGCUGAGUCGACGUCCCUGGUCUUUGCCUCUGCGUGGGGUGAGGUGUUUCCUCCAGAAGCCACGCCCACACAGGUGGUCUCAAGCCUGUCAUGGGGUCACCAAGAGAGCCCACACUUCCCUGCCCCCGCAUUGCCCUGCACCCCCCACCUCCCCUCUGUUCCUGGAGGAGGCCUGUCCCUCGCCUUCCUCAAGGGAAGCUGGGGGGCCGGGUGGGUGCAGCCGUUCCCAGGCCAAUAAACAGUGGGUGAAUCCAA